GAUGAGCGCUAGCGGCAGGCUUAACACAUGCAAGUCGAGGGGCAGCGCGGGAUAGCAAUAUCCUGGCGGCGACCGGCGGAAGGGUGCGUAACGCGUGAGCGACAUGCCCGUUGCCCGGGGACAACCGGUGGAAACGCCGACUAAUCCCCGAUGGGAUACGAUGCUUCGUGGCAUUGUAUUGAAAGUUACGGCGGCGACGGAUUGGCUCGCGUCCGAUUAGCUGGUUGGCGGGGUAACGGCCCACCAAGGCUGCGAUCGGUAGGGGUUCUGAGAGGAAGGCCCCCCACAAUGGGACUGAGACACGGCCCAUACUCCUACGGGAGGCAGCAGUGAGGAAUAUUGGUCAAUGGGCGGAAGCCUGAACCAGCCAUGCCGCGUGCGGGAAGGAGGCCCUAUGGGCUGUGAACCGCUUUUGCCUGGGGGCAAUAAGGGCGUCGCGCACGUCCGAUGAGAGUACCAGGCGAAUAAGCAUCGGCUAACUCCGUG
rnacentral:rRNA from 1 species